GUAGGAGGAGCAGGUUAAAGCAAACCGUAAAGCUGCUAGUGUACCUCACUUUGCAGUUUACCCACUAGCUCGAGGGAAAUUUCAUCCCUUUGGAGAAUAUGCAUUGUAUGUUGAGCUCGUAGCAUAGAGUAUUCUUUUGCUCUCAUUUCCUAUAAACCACCUACUGCAUUUUUAUGUUCCACAAUCACAUACACCAAAACAGUGUUAAGCAAAUUAGCAUCAAGCUAAAUAAAAGGCAUAUCAACCAACUUAGCAGGCAGCUUUUAGGUGCUUCAGUACCGAGGAUGGUGGGUGAUCCAUAGGUUUUGUCAGUAGCCCUGAUUACUGCAAUGUGAAGGAGAGCUGAUGGAGAAAGGCACUGAUUCAGCACAUCUCCUAGGGCAGCCUACAUGAAUGGAUAUGUGUAGAAAUCCUGUAAUGUGACAGAACUGACCUUCUUCUCUAUUCCUUUGUGAGAGCACUGAUGAACCCCUCCUUCUGGGAAGACAUUUGCAAUAAAC
ensembl:lncRNA